rnacentral:tRNA from 251 species
CGGGAGAUGGCUGAGUGGUUGAAAGCGGCGGUCUUGAAAACCGUUGAGGGUCAUACCUCCGGGGGUUCGAAUCCCUCUCUCCCGGCCA